CCCUUAGAUGUUCUGGGCCGCACACGCGCUACACUGACGAAUGCAACGAGCUUAUAACCUUGGCCGAAAGGUCUGGGUAAUCUCCAAAUUUCGUCGUGAUGGGGAUAGAUUAUUGCAAUUAUUAAUCUUCAACGAGGAAUGCCUAGUAAGCGCAAGUCAUCAGCUUGCGUUGAUUACGUCCCUGCCCUUUGUACACACCGCCCGUCGCUCCUACCGAUUGAAUGGUCCGGUGAAGCGUUCGGACCGUGGCCUUUGGACGGUUCGCCGUCUGUUGGCUGCGGGAAGUUCGUUAAACCUUAUCAUUUAGAGGAAGGAGAANUCGUANCA
rnacentral:rRNA from 1 species